rnacentral:lncRNA from 1 species
CCAACGGGAGGCUGGGUAUUUCACAGCUUCUAUCCUAGAUAUGGCGGUGUUUCCGACGAGAUCGCGGCGAUCUAAGAUCCAACUCCAUGGCUGUAGUUCUGAUGGAAGAAUCUCCUUUCGACACGGAUAUGCGAUCUAACGAGGACGUCUUGCGAGACGGAUGCUUUCCUUGACGUUUACGGCGUACAGUAGACCAUCCGGUACCAUGUUCCUUUUCUCUGUGACUUAAGUUGGAAUUGGUUAUUCUGCUUUCCUCUUGUCCUUGCGUAUCCAAAGGCGAAUUGAAGCUUUCC